rnacentral:rRNA from 1 species
UACGGAGGGGGCUAGCGUUGUUCGGAAUUACUGGGCGUAAAGCGCACGUAGGCGGCCAUGCAGGUCCGUUGUGAAAACUCGAGGCUCAACCUCGAGACGCCGGUGGAAACCGUAUGGCUAGAGUCCGGAAGAGGAGAGUGGAAUUCCUGGUGUAGCGGUGAAAUGCGCAGAUAUCAGGAAGAACACCCGUGGCGAAGGCGGCUCUCUGGGACGUGACUGACGCUGAGACGCGAAAGCGUGGGGAGCAAACAGG